UAAUAGAUGUAGCUGACUUAGAAGGGAUUUUGAGAUGUUUUUCGUGGGCUCGAUUGCAUUUAGGGUUUUGGGGAGGGGAAUUUUUUCUUCAGCUUCAAAAAGGGGUUUUUCCUCUCAGUUCAUGUGAUGCUAGUUUGCUUCAUCGGGAAUUGAGGCUAACAUUGCUUCCAUGAAUGGAUGAUAAAUCGUGUGACCUGAAAUGGUGCCAUCUCUCCUUCAUUAGGCUUGAUGUGCUGUGGCCUUCUCUACCUCGAACACCAGAUACAAAAUGGGAGCAACGAUAAUCAAUAUCGAUUGUUCAAAUCGAUGGUUCUACAAUUCGUGCAAUGAACUUGGAGCAAGCUUGCGCUUCUGUGCUGGAAAGUAUUAGUGCACACAACAUGAAGAAAAGACACCAAUGCCAAUGCCAGUAGAGAAAUUGGUGGGAACGACUAUCACGAAUCUUGUAGCUGUCAAGAUUAUCCAUCACAGGACAUUGCGUGGAUCUGUUAAGGGUUUAAUCAACCAAACAAAAACUUUUAUAAUAGGUCCCGCCUUAAAGAGGAAUGAAGACAAGAAUUGCAAACUGUAAGAUGUUGAUUGUGAUGAGAUAGCAAAUCAAGAACCCACCACUCCAACUUUUAGCAGCAUCUUUGGAUCAUCAACACCUCCAUCAAUAAUUCAGCAACCAAAGGAGCAACCCUUGCAAUCACUAGACAGCACACAGGUGGCCAGAGAACUCUUUUUUGAGAGCACACCUCGAAAACAUCUUAGCUCUAGCAAGGGGAAGAAUUGCCCACCAAAAAAGUAUAAAAUCAAGUUUAGUUUAUGUCAUUGCAUACUUACGCUCUUUUAUUUCAAAAUAGGGGACACUCCAAACCAACCCCUUCACAAAAGCAUGGUUGAAGCCGAAACUUUUUUUGAAUCUACUGUUGAAAAGACACUGAAAUUUGUUUGCCAGCUACAUGUUAGAACGCCUUAUGUUUUUGUUUCGAGGGUAUAUGUUUCCUUGCACACUUUCACUCUAUUUUUUGUAUAUUCUUAGAGUGCUGGCAAUACAAUCACAAACUAGGUUAAUCAUAGUGCAUAUAUUUUGUAAUAGCAUGGCAUAAAAACUCAAUCAAAUUUAGCCUCAAUGAUAGGUGAACAUCUCUAUAUUUUGUAAAGCUC